rnacentral:rRNA from 1 species
GAUGAACGCUGGCGGCGUGCUUAACACAUGCAAGUCGAACGAAACACCUUAUUUGAUUUUCUUCGGAACUGAAGAUUUGGUGAUUGAGUGGCGGACGGGUGAGUAACGCGUGGGUAACCUGCCCUGUACAGGGGGAUAACAGUCAGAAAUGACUGCUAAUACCGCAUAAGACCACAGCACCGCAUGGUGCAGGGGUAAAAACUCCGGUGGUACAGGAUGGACCCGCGUCUGAUUAGCUGGUUGGUGAGGUAACGGCUCACCAAGGCGACGAUCAGUAGCCGGCUUGAGAGAGUGAACGGCCACAUUUGGACUGAGACACGGCCCAAACUCCUACGGGAGGCAGCAGUGGGGAAUAUUGCACAAUGGGGGAAACCCUGAUGCAGCGACGCCGCGUGAGUGAAGAAGUAUUUCGGUAUGUAAAGCUCUAUCAGCAGGGAAGAAAAUGACGGUACCUGACUAAGAAGCCCCGGCUAACUACGUG